rnacentral:rRNA from 1 species
GACGAACGCUGGCGGCGUGCUUAACACAUGCAAGUCGAACGGAAAGGCCCUGCUUUUGUGGGGUGCUCGAGUGGCGAACGGGUGAGUAACACGUGAGUAACCUGCCCUUGACUUUGGGAUAACUUCAGGAAACUGGGGCUAAUACCGGAUAGGAGCUCCUGCUGCAUGGUGGGGGUUGGAAAGUUUCGGCGGUUGGGGAUGGACUCGCGGCUUAUCAGCUGGUUGGUGGGGUAGUGGCUUACCAAGGCUUUGACGGGUAGCCGGCCUGAGAGGGUGAACGGCCACAUUGGGACUGAGAUACGGACCAGACUCCUACGGGAGGCAGCAGUGGGGAAUAUUGCACAAUGGGCGGAAGCGUGAUGCAGCAACGCCGCGUGCGGGAUGACGGCCUUCGGGUUGUAAACCGCUUUCGCCUGUGACGAAGCGUGAGUGACGGUAAUGGGUAAAGAAGCACCGGCUAACUACGUG